rnacentral:rRNA from 1 species
AGGAUGAACGCUGGCGGCGUGCCUAAUACAUGCAAGUCGAGCGAACAGAUAAGGAGCUUGCUCCUUUGACGUUAGCGGCGGACGGGUGAGUAACACGUGGGUAACCUACCUAUAAGACUGGAAUAACUCCGGGAAACCGGGGCUAAUGCCGGAUAAUAUUUAGAACCGCAUGGUUCUAAAGUGAAAGAUGGUUUUGCUAUCACUUAUAGAUGGACCCGCGCCGUAUUAGCUAGUUGGUGGGGUAAUGGCUUACCAAGGCAACGAUACGUAGCCGACCUGAGAGGGUGAUCGGCCACACUGGAACUGAGACACGGUCCAGACUCCUACGGGAGGCAGCAGUAGGGAAUCUUCCGCAAUGGGCGAAAGCCUGACGGAGCAACGCCGCGUGAGUGAUGAAGGUCUUCGGAUCGUAAAACUCUGUUAUUAGGGAAGAACAAAUGUGUAAGUAACUGUGCACGUCUUGACGGUACCUAAUCAGAAAGCCACGGCUAACUACGUGCCAGCAGCCGCGGUAAUAC